AUCGCUUCUCGGCCUAUCUGGCUUUGAUCGUAUGUUCUUAUAUCUGAUAGGGGCCCUAUAUGGCUCCUCGAUAUUAACUUAAUUUUUGCAGCCAGGUGGGGUUCUCCGGGCUUGCCCGGAACCUGCCCGGAACCUGCCAGGGUCGGCCCUGUAUCGCAGUACAGCAGGGAUCGGCCCAGUUCCU